UCCGAUAUGGUGUAACGGUAACAUCGCCGUCUCUCAUUCACGGCAGCUCGGGGUUCGAUUCCCCGUGUCGGAG
rnacentral:tRNA from 1 species